AUAUUGGACAAUGGGGGGAACCCUGAUCCAGCCAUGCCGCGUGUGUGAAGAAGGUCUUCGGAUUGUAAAGCACUUUAAGUUGGGAGGAAGGGUUGUAGGUUAAUACCCUGCAAUUUUGACGUUACCAACAGAAUAAGCACCGGCUAACUUCGUGCCAGCAGCCGCGGUAAUACGAAGGGUGCAAGCGUUAAUCGGAAUUACUGGGGGUAAAGCGCGGUAAGGUGGUUCGUUAAGUUGGAAGUAAAACCCCCGGGUUUAACCGGGGAAUUGCUUUCAAAAUGAACGGGCAGGGGACGGGAAGAGGGAAGUGGAAUUUCUGGGGAGGGGGGGAAAGGGUUAGUAAUAGAAAGGAACACAAGGGGGGAAGGCGACUACCUGGCCUGAUACUGACCCUGAGGUGCAAAAGCGUGGGGGGAAACAGG
rnacentral:rRNA from 1 species